UGGGGAAUAUUGGACAAUGGGCGCAAGCCUGAUCCAGCCAUGCCGCGUGAGUGAUGAAGGCCUUAGGGUUGUAAAGCUCUUUCGCCGGUGAAGAUAAUGACGGUAACCGGAGAAGAAGCCCCGGCUAACUUCGUGCCAGCAGCCGCGGUAAUACGAAGGGGGCUAGCGUUGCUCGGAAUCACUGGGCGUAAAGCGCACGUAGGCGGAUCGUUAAGUCAGGGGUGAAAUCCUGGAGCUCAACUCCAGAACUGCCCUUGAUACUGGCGAUCUCGAGUUCGAGAGAGGUUGGUGGAACUCCGAGUGUAGAGGUGAAAUUCGUAGAUAUUCGGAAGAACACCAGUGGCGAAGGCGGCCAACUGGCUCGAUACUGACGCUGAGGUGCGAAAGCGUGGGGAGCAAAACAGGAUUAGAUACCCUGGUAGUCCACGCCGUAAAACGAUGGAUGCUAGCCGUUGGGGGGUUUACCUCUCAGUGGCGCAGCUAACGCCUUAAGCAUCCCGCCUGGGGAGUACGGUCGCAAGAUUAAAACUUAAAUGAAUUGACGGGGUCAUAGCUGUUUCCU
rnacentral:rRNA from 1 species